UACGUAGGGCGCAAGCGUUGUCCGGAAUUAUUGGGCGUAAAGAGCUCCUAGGCGGCUUGUCACGUCGGGUGUGAAAGCCCGGGGCUUAACCCCGGGUCUGCAUUCGAUACGGGCUGGCUAGAGUGUGGUAGGGGAGAUCGGAAUUCCUGGUGUAGCGGUGAAAUGCGCAGAUAUCAGGAGGAACACCGGUGGCGAAGGCGGAUCUCUGGGCCAUUACUGACGCUGAGGAGCGAAAGCGUGGGGAGCGAACAGG
rnacentral:rRNA from 1 species